GAACCGAAUCACUGCGGUGCUGGAACAGCAGCUCCGUGCAUGGAUCCUCAAUCCUCUCCUCCCUCACCCCCUCCCAUCCCAAUCUGCAUGGGAACCGCCGCAGCCCCCUUUGCCUUGCAUCCCAUCUCUGAGACCCAGUGGUUAAAAAUCUGGGCCUUGGCUUCUGAGUGACCAGUUCAGAUCCUGCCUCUGCUACUUAACUAGUUGUGUGACUUCUGUUAAUCUCUCUGAGCGUCAAUGUUCUCGUCUCUACACUGGGGAUCAAACUGGGUCUCCCGUCAUACGGUUUUGUGAAGAUUAAAUGAGAUUGUGUUGGGAAGGGGUUUAGCUAGGGACCUGGCUUGUCAGGAGCCAAGGAUUCUGUGAUCCGUCACCUGCCCGGAGUCCGUAGCAAACUCUGGCUGGGAGCUCCGAGCUGCAGCAGAAAGAGGAGGGUCUGCAGCUCUGGUUGGGGAAAUAAGACCAACCCAUGGAGAGAAAAUAGAGGACAAAUUAAGAGCUAAAUUGUGAUAUGGGCCACAAACAAAUUAGGAUUUAUAUAAGAUGAGGGAGGACCUGGGUGCCUAAGGAGGUCUCAGAGAGUGUAGAUCUGGCGGUUGAUGGGACCAGAGGAAUCUUUGGUUACGUAAAGGCCAUUCUUGCGAAGCCGAGUUAGGGCCGAUUCAGGCUGAGCCAGCCCUGUGCAGCCCACCUGGUGGGCUCCGAAGACCUUCUACUGCCCCAAGGCAGUUUGCACUUGAAUUUAUUAAGCACCUACUAUGUGAUAAGCAUACAUUUACAGAACAUCUCUAGUUUCACAAAACAUUAUUUGGGGAAAUAUAAAUAUAUGAUUUGGAGACUUGCUGUUAAAUAUAUACCUAGAGGCUUCCUGGGUAGAUGUUUGGCAGAGCCGAAAAGCUCACUUGUUUUUCUGUGAUGAGAGCCCAAUUUAGAAGUUUUUCAUUCUAGGCUUGGCUUGGUAUGAUUUUACUCUGUAAUUCCCGGCCUUCCCUUAUUUUUCUAGUCAUGCAAAGCUUCCUUAUUUAGAAAAAAAUAUUAGUUACAAGUUGUUACUUUUUUUUAAAUUCAAAUACCCAUUACACUUGGUUUUGUGGUUAUGUAGGAGAAUGGACCAUUCUUGGGAGAUGCAGCUGAAGCAUUUAGGGCUGAUGUGUCACCAUGACUAAAUUCACUCCCAAAUAUUUCAAAUCCUGAUAGAUAGAAAAUAUUAGCAAUUGUUGAAGCCAGAUGGAGUGUUCUUGAGUGUUUCUUGUCCUAUUCUUUCCAUUUUUCUCUAUGUUUGGAAAUUGCCAAAUAAAAAGAUAGAGAAAACCCAUUGAACUAUAGAGGAAAAAAUGAAGCAAGAGGAAUAGCUGUCCUUUCUUGGCUGGUAGUUUUAGGAUCUACCAGCCUAGGGCACUUGCCUUUUCGUACCUGGAGCUGGAGAGUAUUUCCCCUCAUACUUGAGGGCUGUUUAAAAUUUGGGCCGUUCCUACGGGCCUCCGAUUUCUGCUGUCUGCCUUGGGGUCUCCUCUGUGUCUCUCGCUGGCUUCAUCCUCAGCCUGCUGGUCUUUCUGAGGAUUUGCCAGACUCUGCCCUGGCUGCCAUGGCAACAGAGGAGCAGCCCCGGUAGAGGCUGAGAGGGGAUGGAGAACCUCUUACUUCUGAGAAUUCUAGAUGUGGGUUCUUUUGGGGACACAUUGUGUGAACCUCAAGAAUCCCUGAGCAAGUACCUGUCAGCCCCAAGUUUUGGGCAGAGGACUGGGGUUGGGGCUGGGGAGAGGACCAAGACCCUCCCCUUAGCUUUGGGGGCGGGGGUCUGAGGAGGAAGAUCUUGCGGAGGAAGUAUCAUUGCACUGUGCUUACUGAGAGAUUUAUGUCUUCCUGAUGGAGUCUCAAGAGCGAUUUAAACUCUGAGCUCUUCUGACCUUAUUUGCUAACUUUAGACCUAACCUCCAUGUAGCAUGCGAUAGCCCCGGGUAAUAAAGUGCUCAUUCAUUCCUUCCACCCAUACUGACUGGGUGCUUAUUUUCGGCCCCAUGCUGUGCCAGCACUGGGACACAGGGCUCCACUGUGCCUUCAGACUGCAGUUGCCCCAGGGGCUGGGAGAGGAGGUAGGGGUCAGUGCGGGUUUCCUCAGAGGGGUGGGACCCGGGGCAGGUAAAAGAGGGCUUGAAAUUAGACAGAGGGAGGUGCUUUCUUAGGGGGUGGGGGGGGGUCACAGUGAGUGAAGGCACCAUCUGAUCAAUGCACAUUCUCUGGGUGAAUGGAGAUUAGUGAACCUCGGUCAAGCUGCGAAAAGCCUAAAAUUAGCCUGACCAGCUGGACCCAGACUGUUUGGGACUCCCUCUUACCCCCCUGGCCUCCUCAAGUUUCAGAAAGCACGAGUGUGUGCAGGAACAGCAUGCUUCGCCCAGGUCACAGCAGGCAGAGCAGGGCACCUGGGGCCAGGCUGGGCAGGGGUGCAGCUCCCAGCAGGGAUGCGGUCCCCACGGGGCCCCCUAGCCCUGCAGGGCCUGACAAGAGGGGAGCCCCUGUCCUUCCCCUCUCCUUCUUGACACAGUUUCCUCUUUUGCUUCCCUGUUCUCCUUCCAGAGCUGCAGGCCUGGCAGUGUGGCCAGAGACAGGUCAGAGCACUGCCUGGGCCAGCAAACCAGAGCCUGGGGCGGGUCGAGCCUCACGGGCUUGGGGGCAGGGCAGAGGCCUGGACGGGCAACUUCCUGGGGCGCUGGGGGAGGAGCAACCAGAGCACCUCAUCCUCCCCCCAUAACCUGUGCCAGCCUCCUUUCUGACCUUGCCUGAAAUUCCCUCCGUGACUCACCAUCGGGUGCUAUCAUCAAGCCUGAGAAGUGGUUUGAGAAGCUAAUCUUGUCUUGGAAGGCUCUGGAGCUGGUCUGAGUGGUAAGGAGCAGGCCAGCCCCAUAUCGGACAUCCGCAAUGUGACUGCUCUUAGGGGCUGUAUUAUGUCUCCAGCCCCACCCCCAUUCAUUUGUGGAAGCCCUCUCCCCUACUACCUCGGAAUGUAACUUGGAGAGAUACAGUCUUUAAAGAGGUAACUAAGUUAAAAUGAGGGUGGGCCCUAAUCCAAUAUGACCAGUAUCCUUAUAAGAAGAGGCGAUCAGGACACAGAUACACACAGAGGUAUGACCCUGGCAGGACACAGGGAGAAGACACUAUCUGCAAGCCAAGGACAGAGGCCUCAGAAGGAACCAGCCGUCCAAACUCAAUCUUGGACUUCUGCCUCCAGGACCCUAAGAAAAUAAACUUCGGUCGUGGAAGUACCCUCUCCCGCCCCCAGUCUGUGGUGCCUGUCAUGGCAGCCCUGGCAGUCUAACAGGCCCUCAGUCCCUCUCCCCAGAAUGCCCUGCCUGGUGCCCUCAGUCUAUUCAUCUUCUUCCCAUCUUUUUUCCUGGGUCACCAACCCCAGCUUUCACAUGGCUCUGAUUUGCAAGUGCCACCUCUGGUCCCAAGGUCUUCUUAUCUGCAGCUGUGCUGGAAGAUUCCGGAGAGUUAAACAGCACUGAGGACAGGCAGGAGGGCCCAGAAAGGCCUCCAUAGAAGGUGUGAUGAUCGCAAGCCCCCUCAUAAGUCGCUCAGCCUAAGCUGAUGGCAACGAGAGCCCGUCAGUACAGAGUUGUCGGAGCCCUACCACGUCCCCUGCACCUGCUAAGCAACCCACGUGCCUGGCAGCAUAAUUCACUGAAAUAUUAACUUGGGGGUCCUCCUGCCACCUGCCUGCACCCGCUUUCCAGCACAGCACCAGGCUUGUAUGCCCUAGCCUUGGACAUUAAACGAGCCUAGACUUUAGCAGGUGGCAAAUGGGCUAUGAUUCCCUAGGAAUAAUAUUAAAACUGGUACACAACCUCCACACCCCAGCUUCUCAUCCCUUCUUUGGCAGAGUGGAGGGGGAAACCUCCAGGAAGCUGUGAUGAGGGGCAGUGGCCAACCCCUCCGCCCCCAGGCCCCCUCCCCCAGCUGCCAUGGGCACCAGGCUCACAGUGUCCGGGAGACCCCAGGGCAAGCAGUAAAAAUGGAGGCUGCAGGAUGCUGGUGCAUAGGGACCCCACGUAUGUGAAUGAGACAGGAGGGUACAUGGUUAGAGAAGCAAAAAGUCUACCCACCACUGACCAGCCCACACCACGCAGUCCCUCCAGAUCCACAGCCCUAGGCUCUGCCCCUCUCAAUUCUGGACUGUCCUGCCAGUCCUGGGGCCAUUGUUGCUGGUGGGAACGAUCUUGGGCCAGGCUCUUGGCUACAGCACUGACCUUACCAGGGGUCUAAUGCAUCACUCACCCUCACUGUACUGAGCUCUGCUGAGAGCAGUGUGCCAGGCACCUACCCAAGUCUAUUUUCCCCUUCUUUCUACUAGCAGGACCCUGAUUUGGGGAGAGGGGUAGCAAUGUACCCAGCUAAAAUACUUCCUAGGAUCCUUUGUGGUGGCUAUGUCGAUCCAGUUCUGCCCAAUGGAAUGAGAGGAGAAGUCAGCUAGUAGAUAUUGAAAAAGCAACUGACUCAGCAGACAUGUUCGUCAGUUCUUUACCUCUGAUUGCUGACUUCACCCUUUCCCCUUUCUACCUUCCUGGAAGACAGUUUGGAUGCCUGGAGGUGCAGCAGCCACCUUUCAACCAUGAGGGCAAAAGCCAGGUGCUGAGUGUGGUGGAGGAGAAAUAAAGAAGGAAUCUGGCUAACACCCCUAAGUAGUAGCACCGGCCCUUGACUGCCAACUCUGAAUUUAUUUUUUGCAAGAGAUGAAAAAAGAUCUCUUCUUUGUUUAAGCCCCUGUUACUUUAGUUUUCAGGUACUUGCAGGUAAACAUAGUCCUAACUGACACACAGCCCUUCCUACACAAAAUCUGGUAGCUCCUUCUGAAAUCUCAGCACCUACCCCAGCCAACCCUAGAGCAGCCCCACCCAAGGACGGCCGUGCCUCCCCUCUGAUCCCACCACCCUGAGGUGGUGGCCCAGAGGAGUGCAGGCGUGUAGGGCCACAGGCUCGGAGAGGUUAAGUGACUUCUCCCGCAUCACAUGGCUAGUAAGAGAAGAGUCAAGAUAAGAUCUUCUAUCUCAGAAGCACUGUUUCUUCUCCGAGACUAAGAGUGGAUCACCUUCUAGCACAGUAUUUAACUUAUUGGUAAUAUGUUGGCUGUACAUGUCUGUCACCUCUCUCCCCACCCCAGGUUUAAGCCCCACACAAAUAAGGGUCUUGGUUUGCUUUGUUUAUGAAUACGUUCUAAGAGCCUAGAAUAAUGCUGGUCUAAAGAAGGUACUUGUUGAACUGAAUUAAAUAGCAAUGUUUCCCGAGCACCACCUAUUAGGGGCUUGUGUCCUCCCCAAAAUUCAUAUGCUGAAGUCCUAACGCCCAGUACCUGAGAAUGUGGUUAUAUGUGGAGACAGGUCUUUGAAGAGGUAAUGAAGUUAAAAUGAGGUCAUUAGGGUGAGCCCUAAUCCAACAUGACUGCUAUCCUUAUAAUAAGAGGAGAUUAGGACACAGACACACAGAGAAGGAAGACCAUGUGAGGACAACAGAGAGAAGAAGGCCACCUACAAACCACGCAGAGAGGCUUCAGAAGAAACCAAUCCUGCUGACACCCUGACUGCGGAUUUCUAGCUUCCAGAAUCAUGAGAAAAUAAACUUCUGUAGUUUAAGCCACCCAGUCUGCGGUCCUUUGUUAUGUAGCCCUCGUGAGCGAAUAUAGCACCCAUGCUUAGCUCUGUGUGAACGGCUUUGUACACGUUGUCUCAUUUGAUCUUAACCACAAUCCUAAGAGAUAAGUACUUACGUCUCAGGUGCGGAAACUGAGGCCCAGGAAGUGAUGAUGGGGGCAGGCGCUAGGGAAAGGCUACAUCUUGGGGUGUUAGGCCUCCUGGGGCCGGGGGGAGGGAGCCCCAGCUGCUGACUCACCAGGGCCCCCUCCUUAUCCGGAGUUCUGCGGGAGGUCAGGCCUGUCCUCCGCCUGCCCCUCU